rnacentral:rRNA from 1 species
UACGGAGGGUGCGAGCGUUGUCCGGAAUCACUGGGCGUAAAGGGCGCGUAGGCGGCCUGGCAAGUCGGUGGUGAAAGCUCGGGGCUCAACUCCGAGUCGGCCAUCGAUACUGCGAGGCUCGAGUCGACUAGAGGCAGAUGGAAUUCCGGGUGUAGCGGUGGAAUGCGUAGAUAUGCGGAGGAACACCGAUGGCGAAGGCAAUCCCCGUGGGCC